rnacentral:rRNA from 1 species
CGCACGAGAAAUCUUGAGCAAUCGAGAGAGUAAAGUGGCGCACGGGUGAGUAGCGCGUGGGUAACCUACCCUUGGGUUGGGGAUAACUCCUCGAAAGGGGUGCUAAUACCGGUUAAUAUUCUGACCUCUUCGGAGAUUGGAAUCAAAGGGAGCCUCUGCAUGCAAGCUUCCGCCUAAGGAUGGGCCCGCGUACCAUUAGCUAGUUGGUGGGGUAAUGGCCUACCAAGGCGACGAUGGUUAGCUGGUCUGAGAGGAUGGCCAGCCACACUGGAACUGAGACACGGUCCAGACCCCUACGGGAGGCAGCAGUGGGGAAUCUUGCGCAAUGGGGGAAACCCUGACGCAGCAACGCCGCGUGGGUGAUGAAGGCCUUCGGGUCGCAAAGCCCUGUCAGGUGGAAAGAAUCGUGUCGGUACGAACAAUACCGAUGCUUGACGGUACCACCGAAGGAAGCACCGGCUAACUCCGUGCCAGCAGCCGCGGUAAUACGGAGGGUGCAAGCGUUGUUCGGAAUUACUGGGCGUAAAGAGCGUGUAGGCGGUUAGGCAAGUCAGAUGUGAAAGCCUUUCGCUUAACGGAAGAAAUGCAUUUGAAACUACCUGGCUGGAGUUCGGGAGAGGAGAGUGGAAUUCCCGGUGUAGAGGUGAAGUUCGUAGAUAUCGGGAGGAACACCGGUGGCGAAGGCGGCUCUCUGGCCCGAUACUGACGCUGAGACGCGAAAGCGUGGGGAGCAAACAGGAUUAGAUACCCUGGUAGUCCACGCGGUAAACGAUGGGCACUAGGUGUAGGAGGUAUUGACCCCUUCUGUGCCGAAGCUAACGCAUUAAGUGCCCCGCCUGGGGAGUACGGCCGCAAGGCUAAAACUCAAAGGAAUUGACGG